CCUCCUGCUUAUAAGGAGCUCCCUUCAUUUCUCCCAUACAACUCCUUCAAGUUAAAGUAAUUUUCUUUGAGAGAAAUAACCCCAUCUUUUCCCUUUAUACAAGUUUCAAUUUAUUCACUCUUUCAAAUUCAGUAAUUGACAUAGUUCUCUAAUUUUUUAGCCUGUCAUUCUGAUCCGAAGCUUGUUAAAAAGACCCUCUGUUUUCAGUUGUACUUAUUUUCACUUAUGUCAUCCAAUUUUCUCACUAAUUCACGUUGCUCUAGCUCUUCCUGGACACCUAAACAAAACAAAACGUUCGAGAAGGCUCUGGCUAAAUAUGACCAGGACACUCCUGACCGCUGGCACAAUGUUGCCAAGGCUGUGGGUGGAAAGUCUGCUGAGGAAGUCAAGCUGCACUAUGAUGCCCUAGUCAGGGAUCUCAAAGACAUUGAGUCUGGCCGCUACCCUUAUCCAUAUCCAAGUGGAAGCAACAGCUAAAGCGGUUCCCAAAGAGUUAAAUACUAAAAUGAACAAGAACAUGAUACUCGCAAAACCAGAGACCUCAGUCGCACAAUCGCAGAAAUACUAGCAAUCUAGCAUUGUAUGAUAUUCCCCCAGAAAAAAAGAAAAUCCCUACUGUAACAGUAUAUGCUGCUAUUACUAUUUUCUGUAUUAUCACUUUGUAUUUUCCUUUGACUUUGUCUAGUUAAAUUAAAAUGUUAAAUAUUUAUAUAGUAA